UACGUAGGUGGCAAGCGUUGUCCGGAUUUAUUGGGUUUAAAGGGUGCGUAGGCGGGUAUUUAAGUCAGAGGUGAAAGACGGCCGCUCAACGGUCGCAGUGCCUUUGAUACUGGAUAUCUUGAGUGCAGACGAGGUCUGUGGGAUGGAUGGUGUAGCGGUGAAAUGCUUAGAUACCAUCCAGAACACCAAUUGCGAAGGCAGCAGACUAGGGUGCCACUGACGCUGAGGCACGAAAGUGCGGGGAUCAAACAGG
rnacentral:rRNA from 1 species